rnacentral:rRNA from 1 species
CCUACGGGGGACAGCAGUGAGGAAUAUUGGUCAAUGGACGAGAGUCUGAACCAGCCAAGUAGCGUGAAGGAUGACUGCCCUAUGGGUUGUAAACUUCUUUUAUAUGGGAAUAAAAUGUUCCACGUGUGGGAUUUUGUCUGUACCAUAUGAAUAAGGAUCGACUAACUCCGUGCCAGCAGCCGCGGUAAUACGGAGGAUCCGAGCGUUAUCCGGAUUUAUUGGGUUUAAAGGGAGCGUAGGUGGGUUGUUAAGUCAGUUGUGAAAGUUUGCGGCUCAACCGUAAAAUUGCAGUUGAAACUGGCAGUCUUGAGUACAGUAGAGGUGGGCGGAAUUCGUGGUGUAGCGGUGAAAUGCUUAGAUAUCACGAAGAACUCCGAUUGCGAAGGCAGUUCACUGGACUGCAACUGACACUGAGGCUCGAAAGUGUGGGUAUCAAACAGGAUUAGAUACCCCAGUAGUC